CCUACGGGAGGCAGCAGUGGGGAAUUUUGGACAAUGGGCGAAAGCCUGAUCCAGCAAUGCCGCGUGAGUGAAGAAGGCCUUCGGGUUGUAAAGCUCUUUUGUCAGGGAAGAAACGGUGAGAGCUAAUAUCUCUUGCUAAUGACGGUACCUGAAGAAUAAGCACCGGCUAACUACGUGCCAGCAGCCGCGGUAAUACGUAGGGUGCAAGCGUUAAUCGGAAUUACUGGGCGUAAAGCGUGCGCAGGCGGUUUUGUAAGUCUGAUGUGAAAUCCCCGGGCUCAACCUGGGAAUUGCAUUGGAGACUGCAAGGCUAGAAUCUGGCAGAGGGGGGUAGAAUUCCACGUGUAGCAGUGAAAUGCGUAGAUAUGUGGAGGAACACCGAUGGCGAAGGCAGCCCCCUGGGUCAAGAUUGACGCUCAUGCACGAAAGCGUGGGGAGCAAACAGGAUUAGAUACCCUGGUAGUCCACGCCCUAAACGAUGUCUACUAGUUGUCGGGUCUUAAUUGACUUGGUAACGCAGCUAACGCGUGAAGUAGACCGCCUGGGGAGUACGGUCGCAAAGAUUAAAACUUAAAAGGAAAUUUAGACGG
rnacentral:rRNA from 1 species